rnacentral:rRNA from 1 species
GGCCUAACACAUGCAAGUCGAACGGCAGCGCGGGGCAACCUGGCGGCGAGUGGCGAACGGGUGAGUAAUAUAUCGGAACGUACCCUGGAGUGGGGGAUAACGUAGCGAAAGUUACGCUAAUACCGCAUACGAUCUAAGGAUGAAAGCAGGGGACCGCAAGGCCUUGUGCUCCUGGAGCGGCCGAUAUCUGAUUAGCUAGUUGGUGGGGUAAAGGCCUACCAAGGCAUCGAUCAGUAGCUGGUCUGAGAGGACGACCAGCCACACUGGAACUGAGACACGGUCCAGACUCCUACGGGAGGCAGCAGUGGGGAAUUUUGGACAAUGGGCGAAAGCCUGAUCCAGCAAUGCCGCGUGAGUGAAGAAGGCCUUCGGGUUGUAAAGCUCUUUUGUCAGGGAAGAAACGGUGAGGGCUAAUAUCCCUUGCUAAUGACGGUACCUGAAGAAUAAGCACCGGCUAACUACGUGCCAGCAGCCGCGGUAAUACGUAGGGUGCAAGCGUUAAUCGGAAUUACUGGGCGUAAGGCGUGCGCAGGCGGUUUUGUAAGUCUGUCGUGAAAUCCCCGGGCUCAACCUGGGAAUUGCGAUGGAGACUGCAAGGCUAGAAUCUGGCAGAGGGGGGUAGAAUUCCACGUGUAGCAGUGAAAUGCGUAGAGAUGUGGAGGAACACCGAUGGCGAAGGCAGCCCCCUGGGUCAAGAUUGACGCUCAUGCACGAAAGCGUGGGGAGCAAACAGGAUUAGAUACCCUGGUAGUCCACGCCCUAAACGAUGUCUACUAGUUGUCGGGUUUUAAUUAACUUGGUAACGCAGCUAACGCGUGAAGUAGACCGCCUGGGGAGUACGGCCGUCAGAUUAAAACUCAAAGGAAUUGACGGGGACCCG